rnacentral:rRNA from 1 species
UGGGGAAUUUUGGACAAUGGACGCAAGUCUGAUCCAGCCAUUCCGCGUGCAGGAUGAAGGCCCUCGGGUUGUAAACUGCUUUUGUACGGAACGAAAAGGUCUCUCUUAAUACGGGGGGCUCAUGACGGUACCGUAAGAAUAAGCACCGGCUAACUACGUGCCAGCAGCCGCGGUAAUACGUAGGGUGCAAGCGUUAAUCGGAAUUACUGGGCGUAAAGCGUGCGCAGGCGGUUAUAUAAGACAGAUGUGAAAUCCCCGGGCUCAACCUGGGAACUGCAUUUGUGACUGUAUAGCUAGAGUACGGUAGAGGGGGAUGGAAUUCCGCGUGUAGCAGUGAAAUGCGUAGAUAUGCGGAGGAACACCGAUGGCGAAGGCAAUCCCCUGGACCUGUACUGACGCUCAUGCACGAAAGCGUGGGGAGCAAACAGGAUUAGAUACCCUGGUAGUCCACGCCCUAAACGAUGUCAACUGGUUGUUGGGUCUUCACUGACUCAGUAACGAAGCUAACGCGUGAAGUUGACCGCCUGGGGAGUACGGCCGCAAGGUUG